UACGGAGGGGGCUAGCGUUAUUCGGAAUUAUUGGGCGUAAAGGGCGUGUAGGCGGCUUCGUGUGCUCCAUGAUGAACGCCUCGGCUUAACCGAGGAACUGCAUGGGAAACUGCGGAGCUUUGAGUCCGGGAGAGGAGAGCGGAAUUCCCAGUGUAGCGGUGAAAUGCGCAGAUAUCGGGAAGAACACCCUGGCGAAGGCGGCUCUUGGC
rnacentral:rRNA from 1 species